CCGGAGUUUUUAUCUUCAUCUUUAGUACUGUACUGUUCCUCAGGUUCAUUGAGGAGACACUGAGAACAAAUGGGAUAUUUUUUCCAUGAUGAGGAAAAAAAACCCCAACCCUGAGAGAGAUUCAGUGGGGAUAGCGGGAGACGUCCCUUGUGGGCAAGGAUGUGGUCGUGGAACUAAAGAAUGACCUGAGCAUCUGUGGAACCCUCCAUUCUGUGGAUCAGUAUCUCAACAUCAAACUAACUGACAUCAGUGUCACAGACCCUGAGAAAUAUCCUCACAUGUUAUCAGUGAAGAACUGCUUCAUUCGGGGCUCAGUGGUCCGAUACGUGCAGCUGCCCGCAGAUGAGGUCGACACACAGUUGCUACAGGAUGCAGCAAGGAAGGAAGCCCUGCAGCAGAAACAGUGAUGGCUCCUCCUCUUCCCCUCCCUCUUUCAUUGGUGACCCAUAACCCCAAGUCCCAGCCCAGAACCCCUAACCCCCAAUACUUGAAGGGGUUUUGUUUUUUUACUAAUGAUGGUUUUGUGGGUUGUUUUUUUUUAAGGGAUGAGUGGAUGAGAGGAAUAAUAGGGAACAGCUAUCCUCUCUUGAGAAGGGGAGGAUAAGUAGGCUGGGAAACUUCAAAGCCUUCCCAGUCCCCAGCACCUGCCUUUCUCACUACUUCCCUGGAGAUGGUAGGAGAGUUUCCUAGGUCUUUCCAGGGCAGCAUGUGAUUCAUUUGGGGAUGGAAGGAAUCUGUCCCGCAUCGGGAAUAAAAUUUAUGAUGCAAA
rnacentral:sRNA from 1 species